GCGAUUCAGUUUAUUUUGAUAAUUUUGAUCUUACUAAAAAGUUUUGAUAAGGUGUUUUUUUUUAAUAAAAUCAUUUUUAAAUGAGGAAGUUUGUGUAUAGGAUAUAAAUAAAAUUAAUUGUGUAAUAGUUAAAUUGUAUUGUGAAAGGUUGAUUGAAAUAAAAUGAAAAAUAUAAUUGUAUAAAAGUAGGUUUAAUUUACCGUACCUUGUGUAUCAGGGUUUAUUAAAAAUUUUAUUAAAAUUAAUGUAUCCCGAUUUAAAGAGAGCUAAUUAAUUAUGUUAGUUAAUGUGGAAUAAUUAUUAACAAUAAUUAAUUAGUAAUGAAACGUUAUCCGUUCUUUAAGAUAUCUGGUUUUCUAAGAAAUGAAUUUAAUUCAGGAUUUAAAUCUGUAAUUUUUUAAUUUAAGAAUUAAUUAUAAUUUAAAUCUAAUAUAUUGGGGGAUAAGCUUCAGUAUAUCACUUAUAAAAGUAAUAAAAGUGCAAAAGUUUUGUAGGCUUAGAAUUAGCCAUCAAUAAAAGGAUGUUAUAAUUUAAGUUUUGUAUAAUAAAAUUUUCUUAUAGUUUAAGUUGUGCAUUAGAAUGAAAAUUUGAAUUUAACAAAUUUAGUAAUAAUGAUAAAAUUAGUAUAAAAAAGUGUUUAAUUUUUAAAAACAUGAAAGGUUACAUUAAGGAAUUAGGCAAAUUAAUACUCGCCUGUUUAACAAAAACAUGUCUUUUUGAUAAUAAUUUAAAGUCUGACCUGCCCACUGAAUUGAAAAAAUUUGAAGGGCCGCGGUAUUUUGACCGUGCAAAGGUAGCAUAAUCAUUAGUCUUUUAAUUGAAGGCUGGAAUGAAUGGUUGGACGAGGUAUUGACUGUCUCAAUGUAAAUGACAAUAGAAUUUAUCUUUUAAGUCAAAAGACUUAAAUGACAUUAGAGGACGAGAAGACCCUAUAGAGCUUUAUAUUUAAAGAUUAUUAUUUAUUUGGGAGUAUUUUUAUAAUAGUGAUAUAAAUAUUUUGUUGGGGUGACAGGAAGAUAUAAGAAACUCUUUUUAGUUUAGUUACAUUUAUUUAUGAAUUGAUGAUCCAUUAUUAGUGAUUAUAAGACUAAGUUACCUUAGGGAUAACAGCGUAAUCUUUUUCGAGAGUUCUUAUCGACAAAAAGGGUUGCGACCUCGAUGUUGGAUUAAGGGUAAUUUUGGGUGUAGAUGUUCAAAGUUUAGGUCUGUUCGACCUUUAAAUCCUUACAUGAUCUGAGUUCAGACCGGUGUAAGCCAGGUCGGUUUCUAUCCUUAAUAAAAAUUGAUGUUUUAGUACGAAAGGACCAAGCAUUGGGAAUAAUUAUUCUUUAAGAAUUGAUUAAUAUUAAUGAAAAAAAAAAAAAAAAAAAAAAAAAAAACUACUUUGGCAGAUAAGUGCAA
rnacentral:rRNA from 1 species